GAUCAUGGCUCAGGAUGAACGCUAGCUACAGGCUUAACACAUGCAAGUCGGAGGGGAAACGACAUCGAAAGCUUGCCUUUGAUGGGCGUCGACCGGCGCACGGGUGAGUAACGCGUAUCCAACCUGCCCAUCACUUGGGAAUAACCUUGCGAAAGUAAGACUAAUGCCCAAUGACAUCCCACGAAGGCAUCCGAAUGGGAUUAAAGAUUUAUCGGUGAUGGAUGGGGAUGCGU
rnacentral:rRNA from 1 species